GAUGAACGCUGGCGGCGUGCCUAAUACAUGCAAGUCGAGCGAACGGACGAGAAGCUUGCUUCUCUGAUGUUAGCGGCGGACGGGUGAGUAACACGUGGAUAACCUACCUAUAAGACUGGGAUAACUUCGGGAAACCGGAGCUAAUACCGGAUAAUAUUUUGAACCGCAUGGUUCAAAAGUGAAAGACGGUCUUGCUGUCACUUAUAGAUGGAUCCGCGCUGCAUUAGCUAGUUGGUAAGGUAACGGCUUACCAAGGCAACGAUGCAUAGCCGACCUGAGAGGGUGAUAGGCCACACUGGAACUGAAAAACGGUCCAGACUCCUACGGGAGGCAGCAGUAGGGAAUCUUCCGCAAUGGGCGAAAGCCUGACGGAGCAACGCCGCGUGAGUGAUGAAGGUCUUCGGAUCGUAAAACUCUGUUAUUAGGGAAGAACAUAUGUGUAAGUAACUGUGCACAUCUUGACGGUACCUAAUCAGAAAGCCACGGCUAACUACGUG
rnacentral:rRNA from 1 species